rnacentral:lncRNA from 1 species
GAGUCUCCAGGACACCCUGAAGAGAUGUCCUGUGCUCUGUGCUGCAGCCUUUGGCCACAGUUACUUCUGUGUGGCCAGAAGUACUUCAGAUCCUGGCAAAGGCCUUAGCCACUGUGGACCAGGAAAGUGGUGUCAAGGCCAGUGGCUAAGAACAUGGCUUUUCCCUUGGCCUGAACAUGUCUGAAAAGACCAGCACUGGAAAGAGGCACUGUGCCUGGGACCUGUGGGCACCUUCCCCUAAGGAGUUUUGCUGUAGGGAGAAGGGAUGGAUGAAUGGGAUGGAUAUUAAUAAAUGAAAGGCUUGUUGCUGCCUUCCUGCUUUCUCUGC